UUAAACGGCCGCGGUAUCCUAACCGUGCAAAGGUAGCGUAANCACUUGUCUUAUAAAUAAAGACCUGUAUGAAUGGCUAAAUGAAUAUUUAACUGUCUCCUUUAACUAAUCAGUGAAACUGAUCUUUCAGUACAAAAGCUGAAAUAGAAGUAUAAGACGAGAAGACCCUGUGGAGCUUCAAAUUUUUAACAAAACAUACUUAAAAAAUGUUAAUGAUAAAAAAUUUUAAGUUGGGNCGACUUUGGANNAAACCUAACCUCCAAGGAAGGCAUUGCCAANAUAGCUAACCCGCCAAACUAAAAAGNCCCAGUAUCAUUAAUCAACGAACCAAGUUACCCCAGGNAUAACAGCGCUAUCUUCUUCAAGAGUCCCUAUCGACAAGAAGGUUUACGACCUCGA
rnacentral:rRNA from 1 species